GGAAUACCCGCUGAACUUAAGCAUAUC
rnacentral:rRNA from 3 species